rnacentral:lncRNA from 1 species
UUUUUUAAAAAUUCUUUAUUUUAUGUUGUGCAUAGGUAUACAAACAGGCUUGCACAGCCACAACAGCUAACUCAAGUAUUAUGAAACAACAUAGUAAUACAUGUGUGUGGAAUAACGGGAAAACUGCACAUUUGAUAAUAGUAUUGUAAUGAGGGCUAAGUCACAGGGAUCAGAGAAGGUUAGUUAUGUCGUGUGACAACCAUUAGAAAGGAACCCUCUGUGACCAAGAUUGAUGAGUGCUGCCACUAGUGACACUGACAAUAAAGUAAAAAGUUAGAUAAGGAGGUUAGUGCGAAAGAAUUGUGUUGAGCUUAGUAUUGCUAGAUCAACAUAGUGUGAACACCCCAUAGACCCCCACCCUAGGUAGAUGGAUAGUAAGGCCCAGAAAAAAAAAUUAGUCAUGAUAUAAACAUAAGAUUAGGUUCAGAACAUAAAUUUGAAAAAUUUCUAAGGUUUGCAAUGUGAAGGCUGAGGGGGGAGCUCAAUUCAGCCGAUACCCUCUUGGGGUCUGGUAUAGUCUGCUGUAAUCUGGCUGUCUUCAAUAGGAUCGGGAGCGACAUCUCUCUGUGCGAGCCAGCUGCUCGGGCAGGCACAAGGGUAAGUCCUCUAGGGUUGAUGUAUGUUGGCUGUUUCUGUGCCGAAUUCACCGAACUGCAGUACCUCCACCUUCUUUGCCAACUGUGGGACUAGUCUGGCAUUUUCUGGGAUGGGAUACUCUUUUGUUUCUGCUGAAUAGUCUGCCACAGAUAUGUAGUGAGCUUCUGUCAUAAGUCCAUGUGGGUUUUUCCUAGCAAGGAGAGAAGGUUGGUGUCCACCUUGGUGCGAGCUGUGGGAGUCGCGGCUUUUGCCAUUUUAAGUGAGACUCCUGGUUUGAAUAGUGGUAUAAUGGUACAUUGGGGCUGGGGAGUCACUGUCAUGGUAGGGGGAGGGGUCAGGAUCACCCCCACCAGUCCAGAGGUGGGGGGGUGGGGGGGAGAACAGGGCCAGGUGCACACUGCUGUGGGAGUCAAGCUUGAUAUAGUCAGGCAGGAUAGCAGGGCAGCGGCUGUCCACCCUAUUUACUGCCUGAGUAGGCCUCAUUCUAGGAAGACGACAAAUAUCCUCCUGAGGGACCAGUACUCCCUUGUGUCCAGGACCACUGCUUCUGGCUGCCAGGUAGGUACAGGAUCAACUUUAGUGGGCUAAAAAGUUGAAAGAUUGUUGGAGCUGCUGUCUCAUGCAGCCUUUCACAAUGGCAGUCAGGCCCCACCCCAAGGCAAGUACUUUUAAUGUUAUGGCUGUUUCAUUUAUAAAUAACGGAGUAGUUACUAUAUGUAGGCACAAAAACAGAAAUAUACAACCACCUACAAAAGUGUACCUCACGAACAAUGUAAUUUAAGGUUGCACUUACAUAUAAAAAGGAAAAGCAGGCUUAUCUCCACUAUCAAGUGGAUCAAAUAAAGAAUCCUCCAAUCCUGGGAGAUAGAAUGGUUUGCUAAACAAUGGUACAAAUAAAUAAAAUACAAACAAAAAUGGACAUAAAAACAUAAAUGUAAAAGUCCAGAAAAGAAUAGUUCAUGCAACGCAUUUCGUCAUGAAUAUCCUCAGGGAUAUGUAUUUCAUCAAAACCUCACGGUUUUUAUAGCGGUCCAUCUUGGCUUCCAGGUGUUGCCUGCUG